rnacentral:rRNA from 1 species
CAGCAUUUCCGGAGCUUAACAUGCAAGUCGAACGGCAGCACGGACUUCGGUCUGGUGGCGAGUGGCGAACGGGUGAGUAAUGUAUCGGAACGUGCCUAGUAGCGGGGGAUAACUACGCGAAAGCGUAGCUAAUACCGCAUACGCCCUACGGGGGAAAGCAGGGGAUCGCAAGACCUUGCACUAUUAGAGCGGCCGAUAUCGGAUUAGCUAGUUGGUGGGGUAACGGCUCACCAAGGCGACGAUCCGUAGCUGGUUUGAGAGGACGACCAGCCACACUGGGACUGAGACACGGCCCAGACUCCUACGGGAGGCAGCAGUGGGGAAUUUUGGACAAUGGGGGAAACCCUGAUCCAGCCAUCCCGCGUGUGCGAUGAAGGCCUUCGGGUUGUAAAGCACUUUUGGCAGGAAAGAAACGUCAUGGGCUAAUACCCCGUGAAACUGACGGUACCUGCAGAAUAAGCACCGGCUAACUACGUGCCAGCAGCCGCGGUAAUACGUAGGGUGCAAGCGUUAAUCGGAAUUACUGGGCGUAAAGCGUGCGCAGGCGGUUCGGAAAGAAAGAUGUGAAAUCCCAGAGCUUAACUUUGGAACUGCAUUUUUAACUACCGAGCUAGAGUGUGUCAGAGGGAGGUGGAAUUCCGCGUGUAGCAGUGAAAUGCGUAGAUAUGCGGAGGAACACCGAUGGCGAAGGCAGCCUCCUGGGAUAACACUGACGCUCAUGCACGAAAGCGUGGGAGCAAACAGGAUUAGAUACCCUGGUAGUCCACGCCCUAAACGAUGUCAACUAGCUGUUGGGGCCUUCGGGCCUUGGUAGCGCAGCUAACGCGUGAAGUUGACCGCCUGGGGAGUACGGUCGCAAGAUUAAAACUCAAAGGAAUUGACGGGGACCCGCACAAGCGGUGGAUGAUGUGGAUUAUUCGAUGCAACGCGAAAACCUUACCUACCCUUGACAUGUCUGGAUUCCGAGAGAUUGGAGUGCUCGCAGAGACGGAAACAGGUG